rnacentral:rRNA from 1 species
AAACCAGCACCUCAAGUGGUCAGGAUGAUUAUUGGGCCUAAAGCAUCCGUAGCCUGCUCUGUAAGUUUUCGGUUAAAUCUGUAUGCUCAACAUACAGGCCGCCGGGAAUACUGCAGAGCUAGGGAGUGGGAGAGGUAGACGGUACUCGGGAGGAAGUGGUAAAAUGCUUUGAUCUCUCGAUGACCACCUGUGGCGAAGGCGGUCUACCAGAACACGUCCGACGGUGAGGGAUGAAAGCUGGGGGAGCAAACCGGAUUAGAAACCCCAGUAGUCC